AGCCGAGGGAAAGAGAUGGGAGCGGAUGGAUGCUGCCUAGCGCAAUACGAAGCCCAGCGGGGCAGCCGCGUAAGAUCUCUGGCGGCGGCGGACAUGGUCCGCAGGCUUGUGACGCCCCCUCAACUGAUAAGAUUGGUCACUUGUGGCGUAAGCUUUCGUGGACUAUGAAAAGGGUCCUGGCCCAGACCCUCGAAAGCGUCUGACACAAUACAUCGAUUAGUCUUUUAAGUUGUCCGAUUAAGAUUCCUAUUUGCUGACCCAUAUGUAUCAGUCGAAGCUGACAAAAAGCACUCCUGGCCACAGCCUCAACCUGAGAAACCAGGAAGCGUUUGGGAUCCAGGAGCACUCCCAGACUACAAAUCUGAUCUUUUAGGGGGCAUGUAACCCCAUCCAGAAGAGGCAGAUCUAAACCAUCUCUCGGAUCCCGGCUGCCUACAGACAAUACCUCUGCCUUGUUCAGAUUCAACUUCAGCCUGUUAUUCCUCAUCCAGCCCAAUAUCGCCUCCUAUUACCAAAGAUUAAACAACAAUUAAAAAAUUUAAAACGUUCAGAAAUUACAGCAAUUUUUUUUAAAGCAGCAAUUAAAAAUUUAAAACAUUCA